CAAACAUUUAUCGGCAACAGAGAACUGUAGUAUGUUUUAGAAACAUCAUUUAAUACAAAUACAAAAGACAGUGGUGGAAAAAAUCAUGUGAAACACAUGUUAAUUUUCACUGUUUGAAUGGCCUCGGAGUAAAAGCAGCUGUACAAGUGCCGCCAUAAAAAGGCAACAAGAUCGACGACAUUGGUCCUACCUGUAUUUCCGCUUGACUGCCAGACUCGCUGUCAUCGACCGUAUACUCUCCUUCCGCAGGAAGUCAGAAUCAGCAUCAACUUCAUCCACCCCAGGAACGUCAUAAUUCUUGGAUGAUUUCCGCCCUGAUUUCCGCUUAGUUAAAGUCCUUUCUGCAACGGCAUCCGGAUGACUCUCCAUAUCCGUGACACUGGUGCGCCCCUGGGAGGGGGCCCGGUUGCUCCUCCGCCUCCGUUUUGCCCUCUCCAGGGUGCGAGACAGCGUGUAACCCUGGUCCGAUGAAAGUGCACGGUGACUUGGGAGGCGAGACAAGAUGGCCGCCUGGGGACACCGCCUCCAACGUAGGUCAUUGUCAUCCGCAAUAUCCACAAACACAUCUGAAAUGGUAGUAAUGUGUUGUCAUGAAACACAAGCAUUGGUUACUUAAAAUUGAUUCCUACUUAGCUGCCAAAAACAAAACACACUUACACGAAUUGUUAUGGACACCUGAGAAAAACUCUUGGACAGAAACUGAGACAUAAUUCUGAAAUAUCUACGUCUAGUGUUAUUCUGCAGCAUAUAUCUCAGCAUAUACAAGUUCAGAUGCAUUUGUCUAAUUCAAUUUUGUCACAAGCAAUUGAUCACAUUUAGGAAAAAGUGAAAAACAAUCAUCUCAUACGGUUAUGGAUCCAUACAAAACAGAAAUACGGAGAACAUGGUGAGAAAAUACAUGCUAAAAUCACCUUUCUUCUGAUGAUGCGUGCUUCAGUUGUCAAAUGACUAUUAUCUUAACUUACUAAUUGUUAUAUCCUGAGCUUUUAGAUUUUUCUUUAACAUAAUAUUGAUUACAGAUGUUUAAUGUAUCCAACUGUGAGAUGAAUGGCCGCCUAUAUCUACCAAAUCACAGUAUUAUCUAAGGUUGUAUUGCCAUAUUGGAGGAACAUUGUUGGUAUCAUGAAAUAUAAGUUAAUAAAAGUUGUAGAAUUCA